rnacentral:rRNA from 1 species
AUUGAACGCUGGCGGCAGGCCUUACACAUGCAAGUCGAACGAGUGGCGGACGGGUGAGUAAUGUCUGGGAAACUGCCUGAUGGAGGGGGAUAAAUACUGGAAACGGUAGCUAAUACCGCAUACAAUCGGAUGUGACCAGAUGGGAUUAGCUAGUAGGUGGGGUAAAGGCUGACCAAGGAGCCGAUCCCUAGCUGGUCUGAGAGGAUGACCAGCCACACGGGAACUGAGACACGGUCCAGAAUCCGACGGAAGGCAGCAGUGAGGAAUAUUGUACAAUGGGCGCAAGCCUGAUGCAGCGAUGCCGCGUGUAUGAAGAAGGCCGUCGGGUUGUAAAGUACUUUCAGCGGGGAAGCGUUACCCGCAGAAGAAGCACCGGCUAACUCCGUGCCAGCAGCCGCGGUAAUUC